rnacentral:rRNA from 1 species
GUGGGGAAUCUUAGACAAUGGGGGAAACCCUGAUCUAGCCAUGCCGCGUGAUCGAUGAAGGCCUUAGGGUUGUAAAGAUCUUUCAGGUGGGAAGAUAAUGACUGUACCACCAGAAGAAGCCCCGGCUAACUCCGUGCAGCAGCCGCGGUAAUACGGAGGGGGCUAGCGUUGUUCGGAAUUACUGGGCGUAAAGCGCACGUAGGCGGAUUGGAAAGUUGGGGGUGAAAUCCCGGGGCUCAACCCCGGAACUGCCUUCAAAACUCCCAGUCUUGAGUUCGAGAGAGGUGAGUGGAAUUCCGAGUGUAGAGGUGAAAUUCGUAGAUAUUCGGAGGAACACCAGUGGCGAAGGCGGCUCACUGGCUCGAUACUGACGCUGAGGUGCGAAAGCGUGGGGAGCAAACAGGAUUAGAUACCCUAGUAGUCC